UACGUAGGGUGCGAGCGUUAAUCGGAAUUACUGGGCGUAAAGCGUGCGUAGGCGGUUCGUUAAGUUCGUUGUGAAAGCCCCGGACUCAACCUGGGAAUGGCAAUGGAAACUGGCAGGCUUGAGUGUGGCAGAGGGGGGUGGAAUUCCACGUGUAGCAGUGAAAUGCGUAGAGAUGUGGAGGAACACCGAUGGCGAAGGCAGCCCCCUGGGCUAACACUGACGCUCAUGCACGAAAGCGUGGGGAGCAAACAGG
rnacentral:rRNA from 1 species